rnacentral:rRNA from 1 species
UACAGAGGUCUCAAGCGUUGUUCGGAUUCAUUAGGCGUAAAGGGUGCGUAGGUGGCGAUGUAAGUCUGGUGUGAAAUCUCGGGGCUUAACCUCGAAAUUGCAUUGGAUACUGCGUUGCUCGAGGACUGUAGAGGAGAGUGGAAUUCACGGUGUAGCAGUGAAAUGCGUAGAUAUCGUGAGGAAGACCAGUUGCGAAGGCGACUCUCUGGGCAGUUCCUGACACUGAGGCACGAAGGCCAGGGGAGCAAACGGG